CCUCAUUAUUUUAAUAAGAAAUUUUUCUAUCUGUGAUGGAAGUUUUUAUGUACGAUUGCCUGAUCUGAAGACAAGACUUUCGCUGCAUGCAUAUUUAAUGUAUGACGUCACCCGAACAGAGUGAGAGCUCGAGGUUUUCUUUGAAAGUUUGAUGGAAAAUGUACAGAGACACUUGUCGCAGUUAAUGCAUGCAGUACCAAAUGCUUGCUUUCUUGGAGUAUGUGCUUGAAACAAGAAUGUCCUGGAGAAAACAGACCACCACAAGAGAAGGGAUUGAGAAGGAGGGCUUCCUGUUGACAGAUCAGGGGGUGCCUUGAGGUUCCACUCUUGAUGUUCUGCCCCUUACCUGAAAGCGAUGGCCUCUUGUGCCUGACAUAUUAGGAGCAAAGCACAAUGGACUGCUGGCUUAUUGGAAUUGGUUACAAAGAUACAAGUGGACUUGUCUGUAGUAGUUGCUGAAGAGGAGCAGUCAGCACAAGGAGCGUGUGCCUCCAAAACGACGUGGGAACUUCUCCCAAGUUCAUCUCAAAUCACAAGGCUCUUCAGGAAUCAAGAUGUAACAAUGGAGGUUGAGAAGGAGUUUGCGACCCUCCAGAUUUGGACUACUCGCUAUAUACAUUCUCAAACAAUGGAUUGUAGCACUUCUGCACAAAACUCAACAAGUCAUGAUUGAGGAAAACGCAACAAAUACUCAGUUGAGCAUUGAUUUAUGUGACUGGUAUUAGGGUAGGUUUCAGCUUGGUAAUUUUAUAUAAACUAUGUCCCAAAAGAACCUCGUUGGUCCUUAUGGUUCCACGCCACAAGCUGCUCCCUCCCCUGUUUCGGUAUACCGAACCCAGACUAUCAAGGGAUCAAAUGAAUUAAAAUCUACACUUGAUUACAAAUGAA
rnacentral:lncRNA from 1 species